rfam:Deltaproteobacteria bacterium GWA2_55_10 gwa2_scaffold_6516, whole genome shotgun sequence.
GUGGACGUGGCUCAACGGUUAGAGCACUGGACUGUGACUCCGGGGGUUGGGGGUUCGAAUCCCCUCGUCCACC